UACAGAGGUCCCCAAGCGUUGUUCGGAUUCACUGGGCGUAAAGGGUGCGUAGGUGGCGAGGUAAGUCGGAUGUGAAAGCUCGGAGCUCAACUCCGAAAUGGCAUUGGAACUACCUUGCUCGAGGGAUGGAGGGGGACUGGAAUUCUCGGUGUAGCAGUGAAAUGCGUAGAUAUCGGGAGGAACACCAGUGGCGAAGGCGACUUCCUGGCCUGUUCUUGACGCUGAGGCGCGAAAGCUAGGGUAGCAAACGGG
rnacentral:rRNA from 1 species